AUGGGCGAAAGCCUGACGGAGCAAUGCCGCGUGAGUGAAGAAGGCCUUCGGUUGUAAAACUCUGUCCUAGACGAAGAGAGAGUAUUGUAGUAACUGACAAUACUAGGACGGUAGACUAGGAGGAAGCCCCGGCUAACUAUGUGCCAGCAGCCGCGGUAAAACAUAGGGGGCAAGCGUUGUCCGGAAUCACUGGGCGUAAAGGGCGCGCAGGCGGUAAAUUAAGUCAGGUGUGAAAGUUCGGGGCUCAACCCCGUGAUUGCACCUGAUACUGAUAAACUAGAGUGUUGGAGAGGUAAGUGGAAUUCCUAGUGUAGCGGUGGAAUGCGUAGAUAUUAGGAGGAACACCAGUGGCGAAGGCGACUUACUGGCCAAUAACUGACGCUGAGGCGCGAAAGCGUGGGGAGCAAACAGGAUUAGAUACCCUGGUAGUCCACGCCGUAAACGAUGAGUACUAGGUGUGGUUGUUUCGAAACAAUCGGUGCCGCAGUAAACACAAUAAGUACUCGCCUGGGGAUACGGUCGCAGACUGAAACUCAAAGA
rnacentral:rRNA from 1 species